CCGCCUCCACCUCCUUCUGCCCCAGAGGCCGCUUCGCAGGGAAAGUUACAUAACGCGCGGGCAAAGCCUUCUGGGAAACGUAGUCCCGCCGCGGCGGGCUCUUAAAGGGGACGGCGGGCGGCAGCCGGGGUGGCCGCAUCGCCGCGGCGCAUCUCCGAGCGGUCCUCGCCAGCCGCGAGCCGCCAGGGGCGCGGGCACAAGGGGCGGGGCGGGGCGGGGCGGGGCGGGGACACGAGUGGGCAGCACUACCUCGGAGUCAGAAGUUGACGCGCUGGACACGCUCCCGGCGUCCAGUUGCCGCGCCGAGUCGCUGUGCAGCUCCAGGCCAGCGUCUCGGCCUCUCUGAGGCUCACUCUCCGCCCAGGAAAGAAUCUUGGCCAUCAGCCUCCGACGGGGGCCGGCAGUAGCCAGAGGAAGGAGAGGACUGAGGCCGCCCGACCAUGCCGCUGCCCGUUACCGGAUCUGCUGAGGCACGUUGUGUGGGGGGAUCCUCACCCUCUAUUGCACCCCAUGGGGGGACAGGAAAGACGGUCAGAGAUGGCGAAUACGGCAGGGGGUGGACUAGCGAGAACUUGCAGCCGACCACCUUUCUUCAACCUUGAGUGCUGCCCCUAGGUCCAACGCCGCUUGGUAGGGUCCCCAUGGUAGGGUCUCCCAGGCGUGAGAGGAACAGCGUAAGGCGGGUCACCACAUCGGCCUUUUCCUCUCUCUAUAGACAUGGAUACAGCUCAACAAUAUUUGAAUGACUUGCCAGAGCUUUCUUAAGUGGUUUCCGAACUAAUCAGCGGCUGUUCUUCCCUCCCCACCCCCAAACCCUUGCAAACAUUUAGCUCUGAUUGGGUAAUAAA